UACGAAGGGGGCUAGCGUUGCUCGGAAUCACUGGGCGUAAAGGGUGCGUAGGCGGGUCUUUAAGUCAGGGGUGAAAUAUCCCGGCUUAACCGGGAGGGUGGCAUUGAUACUGUAGGGCUUGAGUAAAGUUGAGGUUGGCGGAAUUGACGGUGUAGCGGUGAAAUGCUUAGAUAUCGUCAAGAACACCUAUUGCGAAGGCAGCUAACUAAGCUUUAACUGACGCUGAGGCACGAAAGUGUGGGGAUCAAACAGG
rnacentral:rRNA from 1 species